rnacentral:rRNA from 1 species
GAGCACGUAGGUGGGUUUGUAAGUCGGGUGUGAAAGCCCCUGGCUCAACCAGGGAACUGCAUUUGAUACUGUGAGGCUUGAGGACAGGAGGGGAGAGUGGAACUUUUGGUGGAGCGGUGAAAUGCGUAGAUAUCAGAAGGAACGCCGGCGGCGAAAGCGAUUCUUUGGCCUAUAACUGACCCUGAGUGUGCGAAAGCUAGGGGAGCAAACGGGAUUAGAUACCCCGGUAGUCCUAGCCGUAAACGAUGGGCACUAAGUAGAGGGGUUU